AGGGUGGAAACCAUUUCAUUGCUGCUGGGCUCCCGGGACGUAGAUCAUUGUCUGAGAUAAUAAUAACUGCUACUUUGAAGACUUACUCUCAGGACCAAAUAGGAUCACAGCUGUGACAAGUGUUUUGGGAUCGUAGACAGCUCCAGCUCUGUGCAGUUACUAGGAUCCUCGACUGAUGAGAAACCAUCUCCAGCUAAGAGGUUGUGAUUGACCACUGAGUAGCUGCCCAAAUUGAGAUGCCCUGCUCAGUACCCAGCCUGACAGGACAAUUGGCCUGCACUGCCCUGGAGGCUGCUGGGAGGGAGCUGGUAGAACUCAUUAUGGAAGGACAGAGCCUCUGAGCACGCUGGGAAUCUGAACUGACAAAGCCCAAGGGCCUGGGAGUUGGAUCACUGGGAAGAGACAGCCCAAGUGUUGUGUGUCCUGGAUGUACAGAGGAAAAUGAAGUUUCAGAAAUUGCUCAGUACCAAAAGAGCUCUGGUAUUGAAAUCCAACUCUGACCCACUCUCCAUGUGGCUUUGGACAUGCAAUUGACCUCUGUGAGGCUCAGUUUUAUCGCCUGCAAAAUAGAGAUGAGAAUAAAUCUCUUUCCCGGAAUAAGAAGUAAACAUGCUGUAACUAUGACAUUGAAGAUCAUCAACAUAACCACUAGCAGCUAUUUGACAUUCUCCAGAUGUCAGAGACCAUUCAAAGAAUGUUAAAAUUGGGCCAGGCACAGUGGUUCACACCUGUAAUCCCAGCGUUUCGGGAGGCCCAGGCAGGAGGGUCACUUGAGCCCAGGAGUUUGAGAUCAGCCUGGACAACAUAGUGAUAACCCUCCAUCACUAUAAAGAAUUAGAAGGGUUUGGUGGUGUGCAUCUGUAGGCCCAGCUACAAGGGAGGCUGAAGUGGGAGGAUCGCUUUAGCCCAGGAGUUUAAAGUUGCAGUGAGCCAUGAUCAAGCCGCUGCACUCCAGCCUAGGCAACAGAGCAAGAUCCUCUCUCAAAUAAAAUAAAACAAAAUAAAAAUAAUAUUAAAA